AUUGAACGCUGGCGGCAGGCCUAACACAUGCAAGUCGAACGGUAACAGGAAACAGCUUGCUGUUUCGCUGACGAGUGGCGGACGGGUGAGUAAUGUCUGGGAAACUGCCUGAUGGAGGGGGAUAACUACUGGAAACGGUAGCUAAUACCGCAUAACGUCGCAAGACCAAAGAGGGGGACCUUCGGGCCUCUUGCCAUCGGAUGUGCCCAGAUGGGAUUAGCUAGUAGGUGGGGUAACGGCUCACCUAGGCGACGAUCCGUAGCUGGUCUGAGAGGAUGACCGGCCACACUGGAACUGAGACACGGUCCAGACUCCUACGGGAGGCAGCAGUGGGGAAUAUUGCACAAUGGGCGCAAGCCUGAUGAAGCCAGGCCGCGUGUAUGAAGAAGGCCUUCGGGUUGUAAAGUACUUUCAGCGGGGAGGAAGGGAGUAAAGUUAAUACCUUGACUCAUUGACGUUACCCGCAGAAGAAGCACCGGCUAACUCCGUG
rnacentral:rRNA from 1 species